AAAAGUUCUACCUUGAUAUACUAAAACUGGUAUGAUACAGAGAAGAUUAACAUGACCCUGUACAACAAUGACAUGUAAAUUCAUGAAGUGUUCCAUAUUUUU